rnacentral:tRNA from 1 species
GGGGGCGUAGCUCAGCUUUGGUUAGAGCGUCCGGUUGACAUCCGGGAGGUCGUAGGUUCAAGUCCUAUCGUCCCCACCA